rnacentral:rRNA from 1 species
GAUGAACGCUGGCGGCGUGCCUAAUACAUGCAGGUCGAGCGAACGGACGAGAAGCUUGCUUCUCUGAUGUUAGCGGCGGACGGGUGAGUAACACGUGGAUAACCUACCUAUAAGACUGGGAUAACUUCGGGAAACCGGAGCUAAUACCGGAUGAUAUUUUGAACCGCAUGGUUCAAAAGUGAAAGACGGCCUUGCUGUCACUUAUAGAUGGAUCCGCGCUGCAUUAGCUAGUUGGUAAGGUAACGGCUUACCAAGGCAACGAUGCAUAGCCGACCUGAGAGGGUGAUCGGCCACACUGGAACUGAGACACGGUCCAGACUCCUACGGGAGGCAGCAGUAGGGAAUCUUCCGCAAUGGGCGAAAGCCUGACGGAGCAACGCCGCGUGAGUGAUGAAGGUCUUCGGAUCGUAAAACUCUGUUAUUAGGGAAGAACAUAUGUGUAAGUAACUGUGCACAUCUUGACGGUACCUAAUCAGAAAGCCACGGCUAACUACGUG